UACGUAGGGUCCGAGCGUUGUCCGGAUUCAUUGGGCGUAAAGAGCUCGUAGGCGGCUGCUCAAGUCGAAUGUGAAAACUCGAGGCUCAACCUCGAGCCUGCAUUCGAUACUGGGCGGCUAGAGUCUGGUAGGGGGAUCUGGAAUUCCUGGUGUAGCGGUGGAAUGCGCAGAUAUCAGGAGGAACACCGGUGGCGAAGGCGGGAGCCUGGGCCAGUACUGACGCUGAGGAGCGAAAGCGUGGGGAGCAAACAGG
rnacentral:rRNA from 1 species